rnacentral:rRNA from 1 species
CCUACGGGCGGCAGCAGUGGGGAAUAUUGCACAAUGGGCGCAAGCCUGAUGCAGCCAUGCCGCGUGUGUGAAGAAGGCCUUCGGGUUGUAAAGCACUUUCAGCGGGGAGGAAGGCGGUGAGGUUAAUAACCUCAUCGAUUGACGUUACCCGCAGAAGAAGCACUGGCUAACUCCGUGCCAGCAGCCGCGGUAAUACGGAGGGUGCAAGCGUUAAUCGGAAUUACUGGGCGUAAAGCGCACGCAGGCGGUCUGUCAAGUCGGAUGUGAAAUCCCCGGGCUCAACCUGGGAACUGCAUUCGAAACUGGCAGGCUAGAGUCUUGUAGAGGGGGGUAGAAUUCCAGGUGUAGCGGUGAAAUGCGUAGAGAUCUGGAGGAAUACCGGUGGCGAAGGCGGCCCCCUGGACAAAGACUGACGCUCAGGUGCGAAAGCGUGGGGAGCAAACAGGAUUAGAUACCCUUGUAGUC